GGCCAAGAUAUUUAGUGGUACAACUGGGCCAGGUGUCGCUGUGGCGGCCAUAUUGUAACUUGGCAAACGGGACGCAUAAUAGUGGCGUAUAACUGUCGUCCCUUCAAGUUUCCACGCGUCAGGCGGUUGUCAUGACUACGGGGAACCAACCCUUGCCUUCUGGAAAAUAAAGUAGAGUAAGCCUCUCUAAUGGCAAAUCAGUGGCCUUGAGAGAGGAGAAAGAGAGAGAGAGAGAGAGAGACAUGGAUCAUCAAGAAGCCGCCAGUGGACUUUGAGGACCACAAGCUUAGAUCUGAUUGUGGUUGCCUAUGACCUCUUCUCACUGAUACAACCUAGCUGUUUUCCCAAAGGCCUAGGUAGGGAUGUACAGGAAAAGCAUCACACACAUUUGAGUAAUGAAAAAUGUCAUUUUCAGUCCAGAAAGGCACUGCCUGAAGCUGGAGAGCAAGUGAGAGAAUCAUGCAUUGGUGCAGGCAGGAAGUUCCACCUCAUUUCCCACAGAAGCAUUCCCUGGUUGCCUAGGCAGGGGCUACAGCCUAUCUUCCCUCCUGUUUGCACAAGUUUUCUAAUCACAGAAUUACUGGAGCAUCAAGAAGAGCCUGCAUGCUUGGAGGAACUUCCAGGCAGGUGAACACACCCUAGUACUGGGUGGCAUCUCCCAAGGUGUGCUGUGGAGGAUGGAAAACAGGUCCAGAAAGCUGAAAGAUGAAUCAGAAACACCUGAAGAGGGAAGCUGGGCUGGGGGCGCCCUAUAUACAGCAGCACCCCACAACUCUGCUGGCUGACUGCAGACAAUGAAGGGCCAAUUUGAGACUCUGGGAUUGAAUGGAGAUGCCAGGGAGAUGUGGCUGCAGCGCCAGGGGAACAUCACUGGAAGUGGGAUUGCAGAUAGUUUUCUUUCUUUAUUGUUAAAAAAAUAGUAACAGCAAUUAAAAACAACAACAACAACAAUAAC